rnacentral:rRNA from 1 species
AUGUCUGACGAUGAAAAGGAUUUCGGUAUUUGCAAAUACUGCGAAGACGAGCACGACCUGGGUGACGGAAUCUUCCUAGAUGAUGAUAGGCGCUUCAGUAUCAAGCUGGACGAGAACUUCGAAGUGGAUACACGUAUACCCUGCCAUGCAAUAGUUUUUGUAUUGGAUAAGAUAGGUUUCAGUCAUACAACAGAGGAAAAGAAAGUUUACUUGAAGACAGAGCAUGGUUAUAUUUUCCAUGCAAAAUUAUACAAUUCAGACGACUACACCUAUUUUGGAUGCAAAACAUGGCGAGCACUAUGCAAGACUUAUGCAUUUGAGCCUGAAUGGUUAUCACCUUUGAUAUUCGUCCGGAAGAUGAUAUUGAAGGUAAUACUGAAAUCUGGGUCGAUGUGCAGACGCCUCCAGUUAUACCAUUAUGUAAGUUUCUCAACCAUAUUUAUGUCUUUGGUAUUGUUUAUUCAAAAAUAG